AUACGGAGGGUGCAAGCGUUACUCGGAAUCACUGGGCGUAAAGCGCGCGCAGGCGGUCUUUUAAGUUGGAUGUGAAAGCCUACGGCUCAACCGUAGAGCUGCAUCCAAAACUAUUAGACUAGAGUGUGGGAGAGGAAGAUGGAAUUAGUUGUGUAGGGGUAAAAUCCGUAGAGAUAACUAGGAAUACCAAAAGCGAAGGCAAUCUUCUGGAACACUACUGACGCUGAGGCGCGAAAGCGUGGGGAGCAAACGGGAUUAGAAACCCCAGUAGUCC
rnacentral:rRNA from 1 species